CCUACGGGAGGCAGCAGUGAGGAAUAUUGGUCAAUGGGCGGAAGCCUGAACCAGCCAAGUCGCGUGAGGGAAUAAGGCCCUACGGGUCGUAAACCUCUUUUGCCGGGGAGCAAGGGCGGGGACGUGUCCCGGCCCGGAGAGUACCCGGAGAAAAAGCAUCGGCUAACUCCGUGCCAGCAGCCGCGGUAAUACGAAGGGGGCAAGCGUUGUUCGGAAUUACUGGGCGUAAAGGGAGUGUAGGCGGUUUAGUAAGAUAGUGGUGAAAUCCCAGGGCUUAACUUUGGAAUUGCCAUUAUAACUAUUAGACUAGAAUUACAGAGAGGAUAGUGGAAUACCCAGUGUAGAGGUGAAAUUCGUAGAUAUUGGGUAGAACACCAGUGGCGAAGGCGACUAUCUGGCUGUACAUUGACGCUGAGGCUCGAAAGCAUGGGGAUCAAACAGGAUUAGAUACCCUUGUAGUC
rnacentral:rRNA from 1 species